GAUGAAGAACGCAGCGAAAUGCGAUAAGUAAUGUGAAUUGCAGAAUUCAGUGAAUCAUCGAGUCUUUGAACGCACAUUGCGCCCCCUGGUAUUCCGGGGGGCAUGCCUGUCCGAGCGUCAUUGCUGCCCUCAAGCACGGCUUGUGUGUUGGGCCGCCGUCCCCGGUUUCCCCCGGGGACGGGCCCGAAAGGCAGCGGCGGCACCGCGUCCGAUCCUCGAGCGUAUGGGGCUUUGUCACCCGCUCUGUAGGCCCGGCCGGCGCCAGCCGACACCCAACUUUAUUUCUAAGGUUGACCUCGGAUCAGGUAGGGAUACCCGCUGAACUUAAGCAUAUCAAUAGCGGAGGA
rnacentral:misc_RNA from 1 species